rnacentral:rRNA from 1 species
GACGAACGCUGGCGGCGUGCCUAAUACAUGCAAGUCGAACGCAGUGGGGACGGGUGAGUAACACGUGGGUAACCUCCCAUCAGAGGGGAUAACACUUGGAAACAGGUGCUAAACCGAUACUGAUGGAUGGCCCCCCGGUGCAUUAGCUAGUUGGUGAGGUAACGGAUGACCAAGGCCACGAUGCAUAGACGAGCUUAGAGGGUGAGCGGCCACACUGGGACUGAGAAACGGACAAGACUCAUACGGGAGGCAGCAGUAGGGAAUCUUCGGCAAUGAACGAAAGUCUGACCGAGCAACGCGGCGUGAGUGAAGAAGGUUUUCGGAUCGUAAAACUCUGUUGUUAGAGAAGCGGAAGAAAAAGAGAAAGCCACGGCUAACUACGUGCCAGCAGACGCGGUAAUAG